UCAGUGGGAAGGUGUGAGACGCGUCCCUGCUCCUCAUCUCAUCGCCUCACGCCUUAGCUCACUCAAUGCUUCCGUGCCAGAGAGAGAGAGAGAGAGAGAGAGAGAGAGAGAGAGAGAGAGAGAGAGAGAGAGAGAGAGAGAGAGAGAGAGAGAGAGAGAGAGAGAGAGAGAGA